rnacentral:rRNA from 1 species
AUUGAACGCUGGCGGCAUGCCUAACACAUGCAAGUCGAACGGUAACGCGAGGAGCUUGCUCCUUGGCGACGAGUGGCGGACGGGUGAGUAAUACUUAGGAAUCUGCCCAGUAGUGGGGGACAACCAGGAGAAAUUCUGGCUAAUACCGCAUACGCACUACGGUGGAAAGUGGGGGACCUUCGGGCCUCACGCUAUUGGAUGAGCCUAAGUCGGAUUAGCUUGUAGGUAGGGUAAUGGCCUACCUAGGCGACGAUCCGUAGCUGGUCUGAGAGGACGAUCAGCCACACUGGGACUGAGACACGGCCCAGACUCCUACGGGAGGCAGCAGUGGGAAUAUUGGACAAUGGGGGCAACCCUGAUCCAGCAAUGCCGCGUGUGUGAAGAAGGCCUGCGGGUUGUAAAGCACUUUCAGUAGAGAAGAAAAGCCUAGGGUUAAUAACCCUGAGUCUUGACGUAACCUACAGAAGAAGCACCGGCUAAC